rnacentral:rRNA from 1 species
UUCCCCUAGUAACGGCGAGUGAAGUGGGAAAAGCUCAACUUUGUAAUCUGGUUGCCUUUGGCGAUCCGAGUUGUAGUCUAGAGAAGUGUUAUCCGCGCAGCCCCUUAUAGAUUUCGGUUGGAAUGCCAAGUCAAAGAGGGUGAGAAUCCCGUAUUUGAUAAGGUGGGCUUGUGCAUUGUGAUACAUUUUCAAAGAGUCGAGUUGUUUGGGAAUGCAGCUCAAAGUGGGUGGUAAAUUCCAUCUAAAGCUAAAUAUUGGCGAGAGACCGAUAGCGAACAAGUACCGUGAGGGAAAGAUGAAAAGCACUUUGGAAAGAGAAUGAAAUAGUACAUGAAAUUGCUGAAAGGGAAACGAUUGAAGUUAGACUUGCGCGGUUGGUAUUCAACCUUGGCUUCGGCCUUGGUGCAUUUGCCAAUCAUUGCAGGCCAGCAUCAGUUUGCUUUGCUGUAAAAGGGUUGA